rnacentral:rRNA from 1 species
CACGUAGGGCGCGAGCGUUGUCCGGAAUUAUUGGGCGUAAAGAGCUCGUAGGCGGCCUGUUGCGUCCGCUGUGAAAGCCCGGGGCUUAACCCCGGGUCGGCAGUGGAUACGGGCAGGCUAGAGGUAGGUAGGGGAGAAUGGAAUUCCCGGUGUAGCGGUGAAAUGCGCAGAUAGUCGGGAGGAACACCGGUGGCGAAGGCGGUUCUCUGGGCCUUACCUGACGCUGAGGAGCGAAAGCGUGGGGAGCGAACAGG